CAAUAUCGCCUCUCAUUGCUAUCUUCACUGUUUGAGAAGAGUAUUAAGAAUGACCUCGGUCGAGAUUACAAACAGCUUUGGCUAGUUUAACAUUGUUGUAAACACUAAUUCGAUUGGCUGACACGUUGGUCUCUACUACGCUCGCACCGCUGGUUAUAACUUGGCGCAAAUGUCUCGACCUAUUUUCGCGCCAUAGUCCAAGCAGCCAUCACAGCUUUCCAUUUCUGAAGUUCACUGGGAGCCUGGUGAAGCUUAUAAAACAAGGUUUCUCAGAAAAAAUAUUCGUCUUAGGCUUUUAGUUCUUUUAAGAGCUAAGUCUCUGACCACACAGAGAAUACUCGACCAAGUUCCAGUUUCGAGGCAAGCGACCACCAUUAAUACAAGAUGUUACAGAUACCUCUCAUACUGUUAGUGUGAAAAAUCACCAUGAAGAAAACGGUUACAAGAUAUCUAUAAC